UACAGGGGGGGCAAGCGUUGUUCGGAAUUACUGGGCGUAAAGGGCUCGUAGGUGGCCGACUAAGUCGGACGUGAAAUCCCUCGGCUUAACUGGGGAACUGCGUCUGAUACUGGAUGGCUUGGAUCCGGGAGAGGGAUGCGGAAUUCCAGGUGUAGCGGUGAAAUGCGUAGAUAUCUGGAGGAACACCGGUGGCGAAGGCGGCAUCCUGGACCGGUAUUGACGCUGAGGAGCGAAAGCCAGGGGAGCAAACGGG
rnacentral:rRNA from 1 species